rnacentral:rRNA from 1 species
UACGGAGGGGGCUAGCGUUGUUCGGAAUUACUGGGCGUAAAGCGCACGUAGGCGGCUUGGUAAGUUAGAGGUGAAAGCCUGGAGCUCAACUCCAGAAUUGCCUUUAAGACUGCCGAGCUAGCAGGUGAGAGAGGUGAGUGGAAUUCCGAGUGUAGAGGUGAAAUGUGUAGAGAUCGGGAGGAACACCGGUGGCGAAGGCGGGUCUCUGGGCAAUUCCUGACGCUGAGGCGCGAAAGCGUGGGGAGCAAACGGG